rnacentral:sRNA from 1 species
AGAUGCACUUCCUGCUUGCAGGAAAAGUGCUGCUUUCUUUAGAGACACAAACCGAAAUGAGCAUGGAGUACGAUAGUACGGAAUGCGAAUUUUGGUGUCAAAUUGCGAAAGUGCGAAGCACGGAGCAAUUUGUAG